rnacentral:rRNA from 1 species
GUGGGGAAUCUUCCGCAAUGGACGAAAGUCUGACGGAGCAACGCCGCGUGAACGAUGACGGCCUUCGGGUUGUAAAGUUCUGUUAUACGGGACGAAUGGUACGACGGUCAAUACCCGUCGUAAGUGACGGUACCGUAAGAGAAAGCCACGGCUAACUACGUGCCAGCAGCCGCGGUAAUACGUAGGUGGCAAGCGUUGUCCGGAAUUAUUGGGCGUAAAGGGCGCGCAGGCGGCGUCGUAAGUCGGUCUUAAAAGUGCGGGGCUUAACCCCGUGAGGGGAACGAAACUGCGAUGCUAGAGUAUCGGAGAGGAAAGCGGAAUUCCUAGUGUAGCGGUGAAAUGCGUAGAUAUUAGGAGGAACACCAGUGGCGAAAGCGGCUUUCUGGACGACAACUGACGCUGAGGCGCGAAAGCCAGGGGAGCAAACGGGAUUAGAUACCCCGGUAGUCC